AUUAAAAAGAACACAUAUAUUACAAAUUAUGAAUUUCACAAAGGUUUUAACAUUGUUAUUUUUCCUUAUUAUGAUUUUUGUAGCAAAUAGUAAUGCCGAAACUAGUGUAGAAUGUGCAGAAAAAUGUGCUGCCGGAUGUCUCUUCGAUCCUGGUUGUACAUCACGUUGUCUUGAUAAGAUUUGCCAUCCUCGUCCUCCUUCUUCUAGAGCAUUAAUCAAUUGUAAGCUUGCUUGUUCAGUGAAACGUUGCUCCAAAUUUAAACAUGAUAAGGAGCUAAUGAGAAGCUGCUGGAAUGAAUGUUCAGCAAAACAUUGCUCUUAGUUAGAGAGGCGUGUACUUAUGCUGAUUGUUUAGCAAUAGCAAAUUAGAAAAUAAACUUGACGGAUCAAAUAUAAUCAAGAUUUACGUUAUUAAUGAAGUUCUAUUUUUGAAUAUUUCAA